UUUGCAGGCAUUUCCAAAGCCCCCUGAACUCCAGAAAAACCUAACUCUUGCUACCACUGUUCAAACCACUUCUGAAGAAUUAGCCAUGGAUCAGGAUGGCCAGUUGGCCUGGAAUAGACAGCUGCCAGAUUCAUCCUCAGAAGAUUCUGAAAGGGAAAUUCCAGAUGCUGAAGACAAUCACAGCCUAAUAAGGGAGUGCUCCAACUCUUCCAGUCAUCGAUCACACCAUGAAAGUGAUAGAGAGCUCUCCAGUUCUACUU